CAGGUGUCCGCUCAACUCUAAUUAUGUUCCAGACAAACACCCGGAACAAAAAUAACUUGUUUUUAAAGAAUACGUCCCCUAAUAAAUUAACUUAAAUUAUCCAAUUACCAGAGAAAUACUUCCAGGUAUAAACUUUGGGCUCUAUUUAUUUAAUCUAAUGGGACUUUACUGAUUCAGUUUCAUGAUUCUGUUUAUUUCUGAUACUUAUCACUUUUGAGCCUUGUAGGCUUCUUUACUCUCCACUAAAGAUAGAACCUUGUGUAUGUUGUAACCCUGGCGACCUCUUACAAUUCAAGAGUGGAACGCAUGAUGGCCGCCGAUUGGAACACACGCAUCAUACAGGCGUGGCUACCGGAAAUGACGUCACACGAACAAAGAAUACCCUGGAAAAUUGAUUAUGGACAAGCCAAAACAGCUGAAUUUCAUUGGAAACACCAUGAAAUGUGUAGGACCAUUUUUCUUGUAUUUUAUUUCAUUUUUUAUACAUAUAAUAAAGCAGUUUAUAUUUUCUGAUGUAUCCCAAGUCUGGCUUUCCAUACUGUGUCGUCAUCAUCCAAAAGCUGAGAGAGAACCCUGGACAAAC